UACGUAGGGGCCUAGCGUUGUCCGGAUUUAUUGGGCGUAAAGAGCUCGUAGGCGGCCCAGUAGGUCAGAAGUUAAAACGCAGGGCUCAACCCUGCGUCGCUUUUGAAACCGCUGAGCUUGAGUAUGGCAGGGGAAGACGGAAUUCCACGUGUAGCGGUGAAAUGCGCAGAUAUGUGGAGGAACACCAAUGGCGAAGGCAGUCUUCUGGGCCAUUACUGACGCUGAGGAGCGAAAGCGUGGGGAGCGAACAGG
rnacentral:rRNA from 1 species